AAAUUGAAGAGUUUGAUCAUGGCUCAGAUUGAACGCUGGCGGCAGGCCUAACACAUGCAAGUCGAACGGUAACAGGAAGCAGCUUGCUGUUUCGCUGACGAGUGGCGGACGGGUGAGUAAUGUCUGGGAAACUGCCUGAUGGAGGGGGAUAACUACUGGAAACGGUGGCUAAUACCGCAUAACGUCGCAAGACCAAAGAGGGGGACCUUCGGGCCUCUUGCCAUCAGAUGUGCCCAGAUGGGAUUAGCUAGUUGGUGAGGUAACGGCUCACCAAGGCGACGAUCCCUAGCUGGUCUGAGAGGAUGACCAGCCACACUGGAACUGAGACACGGUCCAGACUCCUACGGGAGGCAGCAGUGGGGAAUAUUGCACAAUGGGCGCAAGCCUGAUGCAGCCAUGCCGCGUGUAUGAAGAAGGCCUUCGGGUUGUAAAGUACUUUCAGCGGGGAGGAAGGUGUUGUGGUUAAUAACCGCAGCAAUUGACGUUACCCGCAGAAGAAGCACCGGCUAACUCCGUGCCAGCAGCCGCGGUAAUACGGAGGGUGCAAGCGUUAAUCGGAAUUACUGGGCGUAAAGCGCACGCAGGCGGUCUGUCAAGUCGGAUGUGAAAUCCCCGGGCUCAACCUGGGAACUGCAUUCGAAACUGGCAGGCUUGAGUCUUGUAGAGGGGGGUAGAAUUCCAGGUGUAGCGGUGAAAUGCGUAGAGAUCUGGAGGAAUACCGGUGGCGAAGGCGGCCCCCUGGACAAAGACUGACGCUCAGGUGCGAAAGCGUGGGGAGCAAACAGGAUUAGAUACCCUGGUAGUCCACGCCGUAAACGAUGUCUACUUGGAGGUUGUGCCCUUGAGGCGUGGCUUCCGGAGCUAACGCGUUAAGUAGACCGCCUGGGGAGUACGGCCGCAAGGUUAAAACUCAAAUGAAUUGACGGGGGCCCGCACAAGCGGUGGAGCAUGUGGUUUAAUUCGAUGCAACGCGAAGAACCUUACCUGGUCUUGACAUCCACAGAACUUUCCAGAGAUGGAUUGGUGCCUUCGGGAACUGUGAGACAGGUGCUGCAUGGCUGUCGUCAGCUCGUGUUGUGAAAUGUUGGGUUAAGUCCCGCAACGAGCGCAACCCUUAUCCUUUGUUGCCAGCGAUUAGGUCGGGAACUCAAAGGAGACUGCCAGUGAUAAACUGGAGGAAGGUGGGGAUGACGUCAAGUCAUCAUGGCCCUUACGACCAGGGCUACACACGUGCUACAAUGGCGCAUACAAAGAGAAGCGACCUCGCGAGAGCAAGCGGACCUCAUAAAGUGCGUCGUAGUCCGGAUUGGAGUCUGCAACUCGACUCCAUGAAGUCGGAAUCGCUAGUAAUCGUGGAUCAGAAUGCCACGGUGAAUACGUUCCCGGGCCUUGUACACACCGCCCGUCACACCAUGGGAGUGGGUUGCAAAAGAAGUAGGUAGCUUAACCUUCGGGAGGGCGCUUACCACUUUGUGAUUCAUGACUGGGGUGAAGUCGUAACAAGGUAACCGUAGGGGAACCUGCGGUUGGAUCACCUCCUUACCUUAAAGAAGC
rnacentral:rRNA from 3 species